GACGAACGCUGGCGGCGUGCUUAACACAUGCAAGUCGAACGGAAAGGCCUCUUUCGGGGGGUACUCGAGUGGCGAGCGGGUGAGUAACACGUGAGUAACCUGCCCUUGACUUUGGGAUAACUUCAGGAAACUGGGGCUAAUACCGGAUAGGAGCUCCUGCUGCAUGGUGGGGGUUGGAAAGUUUCGGCGGUUGGGGAUGGACUCGCGGCUUAUCAGCUUGUUGGUGGGGUAGUGGCUUACCAAGGCUUUGACGGGUAGCCGGCCUGAGAGGGUGACCGGCCACAUUGGGACUGAGAUACGGCCCAGACUCCUACGGGAGGCAGCAGUGGGGAAUAUUGCACAAUGGGUGGAAGCCUGAUGCAGCAACGCCGUGUGCGGGAGGACGGCCUUCGGGUUGUAAACCGCUUUCGCUCAUGACGAAGCUUUGUGUGACGGUAGUGGGUAAAGAAGCACCGGCUAACUACGUG
rnacentral:rRNA from 1 species